GAAACAAAUAAAUAGAGAAAUAGGAUCCAAAAAAAUAAUUAAAAAAUAAAUUGAUACUAAAUUGAUGAAGAGGAAUGCUCAUUUCUGUCAUAAUACUGUUUUUGUUUUGUUUUUUGGGGGGUUUUUUAAGGGCAAAAACUGUAAUAUUGCGCGCUGUAAGAUUGCUGUUUACAAAAAUCAGCGGAUUAAUUCACCUUGUUCUUCCUUUUGUGUUUUAAAGUUUGCAUUUUCCUCAUUUUUAAAAACGUGUGUAUAUUUUUUAUCACUUUUUAUCACUUUAAGUCAUUUUGGAAAGAGCUGAUUGCACUGAAAGGAAAAGAAAGGGCAUUUUAGGGUUAAACCACUCAUUCAACGCCGCCCUGAAUACGGGGUGGGACGUACCAUUUUGUUUUUCUCUCAUGUUUGUUAAAAGGGGAUCUUUGGUUAUUUUCAACCUGGACCCUAUUUUCCUAUGUUUUAGGGUCUAAGUGAACAAAAUAAAUCUUUGAAACUGGUCCAGGAUUGAGCGAGAACGCUGCAACUGUAACAAAACCCUACAGGACAGAUGUUCAACAUCAGCCAGCGUCCACUAGAAGUUGUGUUGUUGUUGUUGCCGCUGACAGACUCAGAUUAUUAUUCUAAGUUUCUGGCAACAUUAUGAAAGGAUCCUCCAGAGAUAGACCUCUUAGUUAAAGAGUAAGAUCCU